UUGCGACUUUUUCUUCAAGUUCCUCUCUCUGUUUCCGCGGUUUAUAUCCUUCACGAUCUUAAGAACGCUGUCCACUUGAUCCCCCACCGCUGCACACAUCAUAAUACUUGAUCGAUGUGAUUGCAGAAGGACUUGGAUCUCCAUUGUUGCUUUGCCAUCUCUGCCACACCCCUGAAUUCUAAAGAAGGUUCGGGGACUGGCAUCCGAAGGCAGUGCAGUCGGCCUAGCAGCAAGUCUUGAAGGGCGUGCAUUGGGAUUCAUGGGCGAUGACAUCGUGUUGUAAGCAGAUGGAUGGAUUGGCGAAG